rnacentral:rRNA from 1 species
AAUGGCCUACCCAAGGCGAUGAUCGGUAGCCGGCCUGCAGAGGGCACACCGCCACACUGGCACUGAAUACACGGGCCAGACUCCUACGGGAGGCAGCAGUGGGGAAUCUUGCACAAUGGAGGAAGCCCUGACGCAGCAACGCCGCGUGGAGGAUGAAGUACUUCGGUACGUAAACUCCUUUCGAUCGGGACGAUAAUGACGGUACCGAGAGAAGAAGCCCCGGCUAACUUCGUGCCAGCAGCCGCGGUAAUACGAGGGGGGCGAGCGUUGUUCGGAAUUAUUGGGCGUAAAGGGUGCGUAGGCGGUUUGGUAAGUCUCGUGUGAAAUCUAUGGGCUCAACUCAUAGUCUGCACGAGAAACUGCCGGGCUUGAGUGUGGGAGAGGUGAGUGGAAUUUCCGGUGUAGCGGUGAAAUG